rnacentral:misc_RNA from 1 species
UUAAGUUCAGCGGGUAUCCCUACCUGAUCCGAGGUCAACCUAGAAAGUUGGGAUUAGGCUAGCAACUGUUAUUUUCUGUCGCGAGGAGUAUUACUACGCGUAGAGCCUAACAGCACCGCCACUGAUUUUGAGACCCGCCCAGAGGCGAAGUCCAAGACCCUAUAUGAAUAGGAGUUGGUCAAAAUGACGCUCGAACAGGC